AAAAGCCAUUUAUAAACGUUGUUUUAUUUCACAUCAGUAUAAUAUGUUCAUUAGACGUUAAAUCACUAAAUAAAGUUUUACCAAGGUCUUUUAUAUGUGUCUUGAUAUUUAGCCUAUCGUUUCCAAUAAAAUAAUUAAAAGUUACAGGAUUUUUACGCUUUUUAAAGGUUAUAUGAGAACAUUUCGAAACAUCAAUAUGUAAUGAAUUUAUUAAACACCAAUUUUCAAAACUUCAGUAAGUCACUUUGU